UCAGGCCUAACACAUGCAAGUCGUACGAGGUGUAAAUAAUUCACUUGUGAAUUGUUUAUUACUACAGUGGCGCACGGGUGAGUAACACGUAAGAACCUGCCUUUUGGAGGGGGAUAACAUAGGGAAACCUUUGCUAAUACCCCAUAAAGCUGAGGAGCUAAAUCGCAUUUGCGGCCAAGAGAGGGGCUUGCGCCUGAUUAGCUAGUUGGGGAGGUAAUGGCUUCCCAAGGCCACGAUCAGUAGUUGGUCUGAGAGGAUGAUCAGCCACACUGGGACUGAGACACGGCCCAGACUCCUACGGGAGGCAGCAGUGAGGAAUUUUCCGCAAGGGGCGAAAGCCUGACGGAGCAAUACCGCGUGAAGUAAAAGGGAUCGUGGUCUGUAAACUUC
rnacentral:rRNA from 1 species